UUUUAUGAGAAAAAAAAUUUUAGAACAAAAAAUGUCAGUUUCAGAGCAAAGUGGUUACAGCAUUGUUAAACUCUUUCAGUGAUUACAGAUUUGUCAAUUGGUUCAGGAAUCAAACGACUGAAGGGAAUGAUCUAUCUUUCACCUGGCUUCAGUCUUCAGGCUUCUGUAUUCCUUCCCGAUGGUGGAUGCAAAAUGUCAUGGCCCAGAUGGUGGGGACGGUUGAUGCUGAAUGUUGCCUUCUUGAUGCAGCACCUCCUGUAGAUACACCAGUGGUGGGAAGGGAUGUUCAUGUGAUGUACUGGACAGAGUCUCCUACUCUUUGCAGCCAUACCAGACCAUGAUGCAAUCUGUCAGAAUACUUUCAACAGUAGAUCUGUAGAAAGGAGAGUGUUUAGUGACAAGCUAAACCUUCUGAAUCUCCUAAGAAAGUAAAGACGUUAGCAUGAUUUCCUUAUGAUUUAUUUAUAUCUGGAUUACGAAAAAUAUAAUAGGUGCGUGAUACCUCGUACAUAUUUAUAUGCAACAUUCUUGUCCUCUCUUAAAUAUCCAUUCAUUUAAAAAAUUCUAGUUAAAUUUACAUUACUGUGUAGGUGAACGCCUGCACCCAAAUUCAAAGUAUAAAUAAGCAUCUUGUGAAAGUAAUACAUGUGGGCAAUUGUGCAAAAUGAAUAGUGUUGCAUUGGCAACCCCAUAUAGCCAAAUGGAUUAUGUAUUAAUUCUGUCUUCUUCCACUUUCUUUUCCAGUGUGAUUUAAGUUUCAGCCCAAAAUAUCAACUGUUUAUUUCUCUCCAUAGAUGCUGCCUGACUUGUUGAGUUCCUCCAACAUUUGUGUGUGUGUGUUUGUGUGUGUGUGUGUAUGUAAUUAUGCAAUUAUGCAUUAUGUGUUGUUUAUACAGAUAUUCAAUCUAAUGGAGCUAUUGGCUGUGUAGGCUGGAUCUAUCUUUGUAUGAUCACAUUAAAAUAAAAAGUGGUUGGUUCUUCUUGAGUUUGUAUUCUGUCUCACUGGAAACAGGGAAUCAAAAAUUUUCCAGCUCAAAAUUUCUUGUCGCAUAAGGUAUCAUGGAAGUUCAAUGUCUUCAUUAAGCUUUUUAAACCGUUGUGUAUCUGCUUCUGAUUUAUGAUUAAUACAGAUGUGAGUUGUCAUGUUUUCUCCAUUAAUGUAUGACUGACCGAUUUGUAGAAAGAGUCUAGAACUCAUUAAUAGCACACAGGCUAUAUCCUGCAGUUACUUCCUCGCUUAUUGGUUCCUCUCUGGUAUCAGGUUGUGAUUCAACUUUUCUUUGCAACUAGCCACAGGUUCUUUGCUUACUCAUGCUGUAAGGAAGUAGGAAUUAGUGGGCUUUAUUCUCUUCACGAUGUGUGCUUUUGGUCUUUGGCUCUCUUGUGGGGUUAAACCAACUAAUAUCUUCUGCGUUUUAAGCCUUAGCUCAGUCAUUCAGUGGUGGGUCUAGCCCCACACCAGCAACUUGAACACAUCAUCCAGGCUGACUAUCAGAAUACACUAACACCAAAGUCCAAAGUGCAAAGCAGUAACAAUAGAAUCAGUGAAAAACUACACUCAAAACAAAGACUGUCAAACAACCAAUGCGCAGAAACAACAAAAAAAAACUGAGAAUUUGAGUUGUAGAGUCUGUGAAAGCGAGUCCAUAUGUUGUGGAAUCAGUUCAAAGUUAAGGUGAGUGAAGUUAUCUGCACUGGUUCAGAAGCCUGAUGACUGAAGGGCAAUAACUGUUCCUGAAUUUGGUGGAGUGCGACGAGGGGUUCUCUUUCCUGAUGCUAGCUGUGAAAAGAGAGCAUGGCCUGGAUGGCAGGGGCCCUUGAUGUUAUUUUGUAGCUUUGUAGAUGUAGCUCCUUAUAGAUGUGUCAAUGUUUGGAAGGGUUUUGCCUCUAAUGGGCUGGGCUGUUUCCACCAGGGUGCUGUAAAAAGCUGCAUGAAGAGCAGGGGAGUUAUUUUGGUUUCUGAGUUAAUAUUGACUUCUCAAUACAACAUUAAACAUAGAUUCUCUUAUAAUUAUUGUUUGUCAAAUUGGAUUCUACAUUCCCUAGGCAUCUCAGGUCAAUGGAAGGAAGUAUGAACUGGUAUCAGUGCCUUCUUUCAACCAACACCUCUGGUACUGAGUCAGGAGUUACACUGAUGCUGCCCAGUCAGUGCCAGACUUCUGAGCUUUGUCAUGGGAAAGGAUUCUGAGGUGGAAGAGGAAAAGAUUCGAGGACCUGUUCCAGUUUCUGGGAAGAAAUGCAACAUCAUUCCUGAUUCUCGGGAAUCUCUGGGCCAUGAUGACCUGAGUGGACGUGAAACAUUUGGGAUGAAGUUGAGAACAUGCCUGAGAAGCACACAAAGGCCCUGAGAGCCUGUGAUUUGCAGUUUGGAGAUCGUUAGGGUGAUCCAGCGCUCUGCAGUCUCCGAGAGGAUCCCGGGAGGCAGAGGCGGUGAACACAGCUGUGGGACAGGGCGCGAGCUGAUGCUCACUCCAUUUCACUGAUUAAAACCUCUAUUAUUCACUAAUUGAAGAAACAGCGAGGCAAAUGCGCAAGGUCCAAAAGGUGCCUCUUGAAGGUAGAGUGAAAGGUGGAAGAUUUUGGGAAUACACUUCCUGGAAGAUAAAGGAAUGGUGGCUAAAUGAAACAAGAGAAAUCAGUGGUUCACAAAAGCACUGGAUCUGGAGUAAAAGACAUUUCGUUCUCUUUUACUCAUGUACUGAGGUGUGAGAAUAAACAAUCGGGAAUCUUGAUGGGAGACACAUGGGGCCUGCCCCCUCCAGCACGUUCUCGACUGUGAUAGUCGUCGAUGCAAACGAUGCAUUUCACUGUAUGUUUCAAUGCUUUGAUGGACAUGUGACAAAUAAAGCUAAUCUCUAAUCUGUUCGCCUGAGGGAAUUGUCACAGAUAUAAAGACAUAAAGAUAUAAGGAUAAGCACAACGAAACAUCGAGACAUAUAGUGGAAUGUGUCAUUCGUGUCAAUGGCCAACGCUGUCUGAGUUCCUCUAUUGUCUGGCAUGGUGCUCCAGCUGAGGCUUUCGACAUAACCAAACCUCUCCACGUCCACUUUGUUCUUGAUAGAUAACUAGAACUGGAAGUUGAUGGAACAGUGUGGCAGAAGGACAACCCGCUGCAGUGCGUCCUGCCACAAUCUUCUGCAGGAGGUUGAGAGUGAUCUUUUGCCAAUACUCAGUGCUAACACUGGGUCGUGUAUCCUGUUGUGACUCCUAAAUAAUUCCACAAUUCCUUUGGAGACCUUACUGCUUCAUUCUGAUCUCCAAGUACCCAAGAUCUCUGCCAGCCACAGUUCACUUGCUUCGUAAGCCACAAGAAGUUUCCCAGACAAUAAUGGCACUACAUUCCUAUAUCCAGUCAAGGUGAUUGCUCCUAGAUGUGAAGACAACGGCAUUGUAACCAGCAAAGAGCAAAUCACAGGUAUUGAACGGCAACACUUCUGACCAGAGAUAAAGUGACAGGAAAUGACUCAACCCACAUGCGACAAAACAGGAUGUAGCAAAUUGAGAUACUUUUCUUCCGACUGUAUAAGUACAAUAAAUAAAGUUGAU